rnacentral:lncRNA from 1 species
UCGGGCCAUGUGAAAAGGAUUUGAGCCUGUCCUCUAGUUGCUGAAAGUGACCUCCAGCCAAUAGCCACAAAGAAAAUGGGAACCUCAGUCAUGCAACCACAAAAAACUAGAUUCUGCCAACAGCCCAGAGCUUUCAGAUGAGGGCUCAGCCCAACUGACACACUGAUUUUAGCCUUGUGAUACUGCAAGCAAAGAACCCAGCCACAUUGUCCUGGACUUCAGAUCUACAGAACUGUGAGGUGUUUAUCCCCUUCCUGCUAAUGCCAAGUACUGUUCCACGUGCAGGAUAUAGAGUGACGAACAAGUUAGACAAAUAAAUAUAUAGCAUGCUAUCAGAAAGUAAGAGCUAUCAAGAAGAAUAAAACAGGAUUGAGGGGAAAGAGAAAUGACUUUUGAUAAGAAAUGACUUUUGAGCAGACCGGUUUGCAGAGGUGACAUGCAACAAAGAAUUGGAUGGACUAAGGCACUGACCUCUAAGAACAUUUGGGGAAAGUCUAUUCCUGAGAGAGGGAAGAGUAACUGCAGGGGCCUGGGAGAUGGGAACAAGCUGGCCAAGUUUAGCAAAUGCCGGAGGGCCAGUGUCGCAGAAGGGAGUAAGAGAGCCGGAGAAUGAAAGGUAUCAUUGAGAGGUCCAGGAGCCAGACUGGAGAAAGUCUUGUAGGUCAUCAUAAGAAUUUCAGAAGUUUGUUAUAAAAUGAGAGUGGUCCAUUUUGGUCCAAUAGCCAGCAGAGUUGGAUUAACCUGGCUUCAGAUUUUGUAAGAGAGAAUAACGUACAAGAAAAGAUCCUAUCAACAGACCAGCAACGAUGAGGAAUUCCUGAAGACGGAGAAUAAAUGGCCGCCAAUUGACAAAGAAACCCAAAAAGGCAAAGCAGAUGAGAUCUCCUGGACAGAGACGUGAGAAAAGAACAAAACAAACAAAACAGUUCAAACAUUUGGAGCAAGAGCAAAUAGUCACGAGGGAGCCCUGAAAGCACUCCCAUCUCAGAAUCAACAAAUGCAAAGAGAAGGAGACCAUAGAAAUUAAUCUGACCACAUUCAGAACACCUGAGGGAAUGGUGGCCCUUACCCUCGUCCGCUGCCUGUGUAUUCCGUGCAGCCGGCACUGAUUGCUUUUGGUUUAGGCUAAAACUUCAAGAACGUCUUUCUAAAUAAAGUGGGAUUACAACUCCUAGGGUUUGGAUCUGAGAGAGGUGCAAAGGGGAACUUAAGGCACGUCAGAGCUGCAACAAGAAAUACAAGGGAGAGGGGAUGAAAAAUACACCAAGAAACCUAGGCAUAAAAUACUUUAACCCCUCCACUGCCAGCAUAAAGCCCUCUUUGUACAGAAUAUUGUAAGGGUAUUGGCUGACCUGCCUCCUCAUUGCCCAUAUAUCCUUAAGGGGGUCUUGAUGUUUGACAUACAGCAUCUGUUCACAGCAUGCUCUCAGUCAGUCUCCCAUCCAUAACUCUGAGAGAUGGAUGGGGGUGGGGGAUGGAGAAAAUGCUAAAAUAUUUCAAAGAAAAAAAACAAUAAGGGGGCUGGCCCAGUGGCGUAGUGAUUAAGUUCAUGCCCUUUGCUUCAGCGGCCUGGGGUUUACAGGUUUGGAUCCCAGGCACGGACCUACACACUGCUCAUCAAGCCACAUUGUGGUGGCGUCCCAUGUACAAAAUAGAGGAAGAUUGGCACAGAUGUUAGGUCAGGGACACUCUUCCUCAAGCAAAAAGAGGAAGAUUGGCAACAGACAUUAGUUCAGAGCGAAACUUCCUCAGCAAAAAACAAAUAAAAACACAAAGAAACAAAAAAAAUAAUGAGAAUUAAGUUAACAUCAGACUUCUCAUCAGUAAUCCUUUCUGCUAGAAGAUAAGGAAAUGACGUCUUCAAAAUCGUGACGGUGAAAUUAUUGGGCAAAGAAUUUCUCCUUCUAACAAGUUCCCAGGUGAUGCUGCUGCUGCAG